CCUCCUAUCUUUCUGGUACAGGAAGAUGUUCCAGAUUCAUCUUGUGGAUAUUUUGCCCUAGACCUGAAAUCAGUCACUUCUCCAAGGUGCCCUGGUUCCUUUUGGUGGAAGUGGUGCCGAGUGACUCCCAGGACAAGGACAGAAAAGGUGAUCAGCUCCCAUCUGGCUCUCUCCCCUCAGAAUACACACCUUUGCAGCCCUGAGCUACCAGUCUCCUAAGGACCUGAAUGAGCUAAAAGAAAACAGAAAUUCCUUCUGAAGAAAACAUCAACAGUGGGUAGUGGAGAAGCCAGGUGUUUCAGACACCAAUGAAGGCAUCACGUGACAGGAAAGCAGCACAUCUGGACAGCCAAGACAAGAGGUCUGAAAUAAAAACCUGGGAAAAAGGACAAAAACAACAACAAACUCUACUUGCAGUCAGUUCCACUUGAAAAUCUUGAAGUUUCUCAUGUGAUGUCUACGGUUAAAAGCUAAGAAGCAAGUUA